GGUUCGAUCAUAGCUCAGAUUGAACGCUGGCGGGAUGCUUUUACAUGCAAGUCGAACGGCACGGACUUCGGUCUGGUGGCGAGUGGCGAACGGGUGAGUAAUGUAUCGGAACGUGCCCUAGUAGCGGGGGAUAACUACGCGAAAGCGUAGCUAAUACCGCAUACGCCCUUCGGGGGAAAGCGGGGGACCUUCAGGCCUCGCACUAAUGGAAGCGGCCGAUAUCAGGUUAGCUAGUUGGUGGGGUAACGGCUCACCAAGGCGACGAUCCGUAGCUGGUUUGAGAGAGGACGACCAGCCACACUGGGACUGAGACACGGCCCAGACUCCUACGGGGAGGGCAGCGAAGUGGGGAAUUUUGGACAAUGGGGGAAAUCUGAUCCAGCCAUCCCGCGUGUGCGAUGAGCCUUCGGGUUGUAAAGCACUUUUGGCAGGAAAGAAACAGCAGCGGGAUAAUACCCCGUGCAACUGACGGUACCUGCAGAAUAAGCACCGGCUAACUACGUGCCAGCAGCCGCGGUAAUACGUAAGGGUGCAAGCGUUAAUCGGAAUUACUGGGCGUAAAGCGUGCGCAGGCGGUUCGGAAAAGAUGUGAAAUCCCAGAGCUUAACUUUGGAACUGCAUUUUUAACUACCGAGCUAGAGUGUGUCAGAGGGAGGUGGAAUUCCCCGCGUGUAGCAGUGAAAUGCGUAGAUAUGCGGAGGAACACCGAUGGCGAAGGCAGCCUCCUGGACCAACACUGAAAACCAUGCACAGCGAUGGGAGCAAACAAGGAUUAGAUACCUGGUAGUCCACGCCCUAAACGAUGUCAACUAGCUGUUGGGGCCUUCGGGCCUUGGUAGCGCAGCUAACGCGUGAAGUUGACCGCCUGGGGAGUACGGUCACAAGAUUAAACUCAAAGGAAUUGACGGGGACCCGCACAAGCGGUGGAUGAUGUGGAUUAAUUCGAUGCAACGCGAAAAACCUUACCUACCCUUGACAUGUCUGGAAUCCCGAAGAGAUUUGGGAGUGCUCAUAGAGAACCGGAACACAGGUGCUGCAUGGCUGUCGUCAGCUCGUGUCGUGAGAUGUUGGGUUAAGUCCCGCAACGAGCGCAACCCUUGUCGUGGAUUUGCUACGAAGGGCACUCUAAUGAGACUGCCGGUGACAAACCGGAGGAAGGUAGGAUGACGUCAAGUCCUCAUGGCCCUUACGGGUAGGGCUUCACACGUCAUACAAUGGUCGGGACAGAGGGUCGCCAACCCGCGAGAGACCAAUCCCAGAAACGAUCGUAGUCCGGAUCGCAGUCUGCAACUCGACUGCGUGAAGUCGGAGAUCGCUAGUAAUCGCGGAUCAGCAUGUCGCGGUGAAUACGUUCCCGGGUCUUGCCUGCACCGCCCGUCACACCAUGGGAGUGGGUUUUACCCCAGAAGUAGUUGGCCUAACCGUAGGAGGGCGAUUACCACGGUAGGAUUCAUGACUGGGGGUGGAAAGUCGUAACAAGGUAA
rnacentral:rRNA from 1 species